rnacentral:lncRNA from 1 species
UACCCCUGACCGCGGAGGAAAUACCCCCUCCCAAGCCGCUACCCGACCAAGCAAGCCUGGCGGUGAAAUCCCCAGACGAGUUGACAACGGAUCCGCAUGGGGGUCGAACCCGCGUCCACAAACAUGUUUCUCCCCAUAAUAAAUUGAUGUUUGUAUCCUUAACUUAUCCCAUGAAUGUCAACACUGUAUAAAUAAAAAAGAUACAUUAGUUGGUAAAUAAAAGAAACAACUUUGAAUAGUUGGCAAAACUCAUCCCUCUUGUUCUUACAACAAU